GACGAACGCUGGCGGCGUGCUUAACACAUGCAAGUCGAACGGAAAGGCCCUUCGGGGUACUCGAGUGGCGAACGGGUGAGUAACACGUGGGUGAUCUGCCCUGCACUUUGGGAUAAGCCUGGGAAACUGGGUCUAAUACCGAAUAGGACCACGCGCUUCAUGGUGUGUGGUGGAAAGCUUUUGCGGUGUGGGAUGGGCCCGCGGCCCAUCAGCUUGUUGGUGGGGUAAUGGCCUACCAAGGCGACGACGGGUAGCCGGCCUGUGAGGGUGACCGGCCACACUGGGACUGAGAUACGGCCCAGACUCCUACGGGAGGCAGCAGUGGGGAAUAUUGCACAAUGGGCGCAAGCCUGAUGCAGCGACGCCGCGUGAGGGAUGACGGCCUUCGGGUUGUAAACCUCUUUCAAUAGGGACGAAGCGCAAGUGACGGUACCUAUAGAAGAAGCACCGGCCAACUACGUG
rnacentral:rRNA from 1 species